rnacentral:rRNA from 1 species
AUUGAACGCUGGCGGCAUGCCUUACACAUGCAAGUCGAACGGCAGCACGGGAGCAAUCCUGGUGGCGAGUGGCGAACGGGUGAGUAAUAUAUCGGAACGUGCCCAGUCGUGGGGGAUAACGCAGCGAAAGCUGUGCUAAUACCGCAUACGAUCUAUGGAUGAAAGCGGGGGACCGCAAGGCCUCGCGCGAUUGGCACGGCCGAUAUCAGAUUAGCUAGUUGGUGGGGUAAAGGCCCACCAAGGCGACGAUCUGUAGCUGGUCUGAGAGGACGACCAGCCACACUGGAACUGAGACACGGUCCAGACUCCUACGGGAGGCAGCAGUGGGGAAUUUUGGACAAUGGGCGCAAGCCUGAUCCAGCAAUGCCGCGUGCAGGAUGAAGGCCUUCGGGUUGUAGACUGCUUUUGUACGGAACGAAACGGUGAGCUUUAAUACAGUUUGCUAAUGACGGUACCGUAAGAAUAAGCACCGGCUAACUACGUGCCAGCAGCCGCGGUAA